rnacentral:lncRNA from 1 species
UUGUAAAGAAGCAGCCAGUGCCUGGACAAGGACAAUAGACUAAACAGCAUUUUCACUAAGCGAGGUCCUAUUAAUAGUAGUUAUCUGAAGAAGGGAGUAAGAUUUGUGUUUUGCAUUAAGAAUAGAUUUUGCUCGUCACUCGAGGCUCAACUUAAGAAAACCAAUAUGGUAUCAAUACGAUUGAAGAUUUAUGUUUUUUUUCUCUUAUUACUUUUUGGAAACCAGAGGGUCGAAGAACUCGUGCAGAGAAGAUGAGAGGGUGAGGGAGAAAGCGGUAGCUAGUUGUUCCAACAGGAAAAAAAAAUACUGUUAAGUGAAUCACUUAACAACUUCCUAACAAAAUCUUAAAGGCUGAUUUCAAGUGUAUAUUAAUUUACAAAUUCUUAGUUAGAAAAUUUUACAACAGUAGAAUAAUAAAAAAACAGGUACAAGAGUAAAUGGAGUAUUCAUUCUGUGAUAACUGUCACUUUCCCCCUAUUUUUGUCUUUGGUUAGUAGGUCUAAUAUUCCGAAAACGGACAACGGCUUUUUAUCUCUCAUUUUUCAAAAAAACAAAACAUGAGAAUCGAGUAUGAAGACGGGUUAAUCUGGACAGUUUUUGUGGCAGAUAAUAACAGGACGUACAAAAUAGGCGUAGGCAAAAUUAUCUUCAUAGAGACAAGGGCUGUGAUCUGUUGAGUAGUGAAUGUAGGUUCUAUGGACACACUUGGAAGGCCUCUUUGCACUUGAAGACUGUUUAAGAAUCGAGCGGUCCAAGUUAAAUCCAAUUAGUAAAGGUGGACUAACAUGUAAUUAUAUAUGCUCAAUUAGGUGGUUAAGUAAGCGGAACAUGAGGACUAACCCUUCUAACACUCCCCCCACACGUGCAGCCUCAGAUUACACGGAAGAUAUAACAAAAACAAAAAUAAAAACGAAAAUAACGGACAACAGAAGAAACCAGUUAGGCGAAAACUUGCCCCAUGCGAGCGUCAUCCAAAACCUAACUCUGAUUUACCAUGUAAAGAGUUCGAGGGACCUAAAACCAAUUGCAAUAGGUGGAUUAUGUUCGAGAUUAUAUAUGCUAAACUUGGAUGGCUUAAUUAAGCGAUGUGAGACUAACACUUCUAACCAAUACCAUCAAGAUAGGUCAAGGAAAUAGACAUUAUGACAUUGCUAGCAAGAGGAGGAAGUGGUCUAACAAAGGAGACAACUAGGAAAAACUUAAAAGUCGAUGCAUAGGACCUGAAGCUUGAGGCUUGAAAACGCUACCUGAAUCAACAUAGACGAACAACUUGCAAUUCAAUUCAACCAUAGGGUGCUGUGAUUGCGAUGUUGGAGAGAGGAGUGAGGGGCUUCGGCGAGAGGCAUAUCGAAUCGGCGGUCGGAGUGUAGAAGAAUCGACGGCGUUCGCCGGACUCUGGUGAGCCGGCGAACCUUCGAGGCGACUUGCAUCGAGAGAGAGAGAGAAGGCUUCGCCUGAACUUGGCGAUGAGGGAGUGUUAAGGUACGAUACGAUGAUGCUUUAGGGGAUUUU